rnacentral:rRNA from 2 species
AAGUCGUAACAAGGUUUCCGUAGGUGAACCUGCGGAAGGAUCAUUACCUAGAGUUUGUAGACUUCGGUCUGCUACCUCUUACCCAUGUCUUUUGAGUACCUUCGUUUCCUCGGCGGGUCCGCCCGCCGAUUGGACAACAUUCAAACCCUUUGCAGUUGCAAUCAGCGUCUGAAAAAACAUAAUAGUUACAACUUUCAACAACGGAUCUCUUGGUUCUGGCAUCGAUGAAGAACGCAGCGAAAUGCGAUAAGUAGUGUGAAUUGCAGAAUUCAGUGAAUCAUCGAAUCUUUGAACGCACAUUGCGCCCCUUGGUAUUCCAUGGGGCAUGCCUGUUCGAGCGUCAUUUGUACCUUCAAGCUCUGCUUGGUGUUGGGUGUUUGUCUCGCCUCUGCGUGUAGACUCGCCUUAAAACAAUUGGCAGCCGGCGUAUUGAUUUCGGAGCGCAGUACAUCUCGCGCUUUGCACUCAUAACGACGACGUCCAAAAGUACAUUUUUACACUCUUGACCUCGGAUCAGGUAGGGAUACCCGCUGAACUUAA